GGAGAGGUGGCAGAGUGGUCGAAUGCACCGGAUUCGAAAUCCGGCAUACGGGUCUCCCGUAUCGGGGGUUCGAAUCCCCCCCUCUCCGCCA
rnacentral:tRNA from 2 species